rnacentral:sRNA from 1 species
UUUUAUUCACACUUUUGCCUUCAGAUAUCUCUCUAUUCUCAACUCCAGACUGCUCUGCAUGCUCAGCACAAAAAUAUCAGUCCGGAAGCUGGAAGUCCAUAGGUUUUAUCUCCCCCGAUUUGCUCGAUGAUGUCUCCCCCGAUCUGAUACAAUUGAUGCACCUGGAGGAUUCCUCUUUCAAUGGUGCUCUGUCUUUGCAUCUGAGUAUAUUUGUACCGUAAAAAAGUUAAGGUCUGGGUCUUCCGAUUCCGGCGAGCUGUUUCCGUAAGAACGUCGGCGCACCGUGUACCGCGCCGUCAACCACAGUCCUCCCUGUUUUAUUUCCGAAUGGGAGGUCGGAGCUUUAGGAGUGUGAAGAAGAGUAUACAGAGAUUGGAGGAAGCAGCUGUUUCCUGUAGGGGACUCGAAAGACUUGAGAUACUGAGAAGGUGGGUGCUGCUGCUUAACCCGAAAGACUCUAGAUACUGAGAAGGUGGGUGCUGCUGCUUAAAGAGGUGGAGAGGCUGAAGCUUUCUCAGGGUUAUGUGGAAGAGAAUGAAAGUGCGCCGAAACAACCUGUUUGCUGCCGAUGGCACGAAUGAGAUUCGAAAAAGAAUAUCUCUGUGAACCAAUGGAUUUCCGCGAAGUUUUUCUUCAAAAUCAGGCUUUGGAGGGCAUAACACUAUCUAUGGCAUUGCCACACAUGCACUUGGUUUGUGAGGUAUAUGGAGUUUUGCGUUGGUGGAUUCGAGAGCAUAGAGCUUUCAGUGCUUCUUUGCAACUACGAGGUCAUCUGAAAACUUAACAAGGAAUGGAGAAACAAGGGCCAUGCCACUGAUGUUCUUUCGCUGUCGCAGCAUGUCCCUAAUCUUAAGCUUCCCAUUAUACUAGCUCAUUACUUUUUUAGUUUUUUGGUUCCGUUUCUUUUUGCAUAAUUUUAAUCACUGAACAUUUGUAUUAUAUGCAGCUUAUGUUGGGUGACAUUGUGAUUUCUGUUGAGACAGCGACAAGGCAAGCAGAGGAAAGAGGCCACAAGCUUAUUGAUGAGAUACGUGUUCUCAUGAUACAUGAGUUGUUCAUUUACUAGGAUUUGAUCAUGAGAUUAGUGAAGAGGCCGAAGUGGAAAUGGAGAAGGAGGAGCUUCUUUUAAAGAGUCUUGGGUGGAAGGGGAAAUGAUUAAUUCAAAGUGCACAUGAUGCCGAAACUCACAAAUUCCCAUGAGGGAAAACCAGAUGGCAGGAAGAGAGAAAGCAGCCUGUGAUUUUAUAAACUAAAGUUCAGAUGCAUUUUCUGUGGUAUGGAUGGAAUUCUCACGUUGCUUUGAUAAAAUUAUACAUGGCCAUGAUAAGGAUCUACAGUUCCAAUGCUUUUGAUGCAUAAAGUAAGGAGGAAGCUACUCCUCUGGAGCUUCUUUGGCAUGAGAGAGAAAGUGGCAGCAGCCGCAGUGGGGAAGGAAGAAGGACUAUUACUGUUUCUGUGAUCAUUUCUGUCCUUCGAAGCUCUAGGGUUUGUUUUUGGAUCGGUUAGCUGUUGAGGAGCCCGUGCUUUUCCUCAAACGGAUGUCGUCUUACUUGAUGAACGGCGGUACGUCCGAAGUCCACCCUUUGUUGUCGUUGGACCAUGAGGUGGAGCUGGCGGUGAUCAUCUAUUAGAAAGCUCGCGAUGUUCCGUAAUCCACCACCAUGUAUUAUGCCGCCAGUAUAUUUGUAAUUUUUGUUACUGUUUUUUUGUUAAUUAUUCAGUUUUUUUUUCAAGGUCAGUUAAUUAAUCAGUUAAUAGUGCUGCUGUUAAUGAUUUAGUUUAAUUAAUCAGUUAAUAAUGCUGCUGCUAAUGAUUUAAUUUUAAUAUAAUGAUGCUGUUAAUGAUUUGGUUUUGACUUUAAAUUUGAUUGGUGAAAAUUGGAUGGUUUAAGGCUAUGCACUUGCUUUGGAUAUGACUGCCAGAGAAAUUCAAGCUUCUGCUAAGAUUGCUAGGGGGCUGCACUCUGUGAGGGUCAUGUAUGUUUUAUUACGGUCAUAUCUAUAGUUUUGGGAACUGGAGAAAAUAAGUGGAACAAACCAUUUGCACGGCAGAGGC